ACCACAAACACGUCCUCUUCGUGUUCCAAGGUGGUGGACACAAGCGUGACGGUCCAGUCCCCUUCCUUAGUGACCACCACCAACACCCCUUUAAACCUUGACCACCACCACCACCACCACCAAAAACACGUCCCCUUCGUGUUCCAAGGUGGUGAACACGAGCGUGACAGUGCAGUCCCCGUCCUUCGUGACCACCACCCACCUGCUCACCAACACGGAGGUCCUGGUGCACACGAUCACCAGCACCACCGUCCUCACCACCCUCACCACGCACCUCAUCACUCUGCCCCUCACGCACCACCUCACGGCUCGCCAGACGGUCACCACGCCGACGCUGCUCACCUUCACGGAGUCGCUCACCAGGAUCGUCACCACCUCGCAGACGGCUCUUGUUACUAAGCACGCGCGCCUUCGAGUGGCUGACGUCAAGCUGGUAACCGAGACGGAGCGACUCACCCAGAGCUUCACGGCCACCAGCACCUACUAUGUGCAGGCCAUCAGGGCGGCCUGCUGACGCACGGCGAACUGGGGCGGCGGGCAAUUGGCGGCCUGGGAGGUAUUCAGGCCAAUGCUCAGGAGAGCACGGCCAAGUGGUCUUCCCGGCUCAAGAGGCUCUGGGCACACCUGUUUUACCCACGUGUGAUGAUCAGGCUCGCGAACUCCCUCACUGCCUUCCUCCGCCGCACCCUGAACCCCACCCUCGUUGCGUACCUCCACAUACACUUCUUUGACAUUUAGAAAAAGAUCCUAUUCAUAUAUACAUUACGCGCAUCUAUGAUAAAAAGACAAAACUCAGUGUGCUAAUACUUAACUCUGUCUUCCGAUUUUAGCUUAGUGUUGUAAUAUUUGUUGAAUAAAUAAUGGGAAGA